rnacentral:lncRNA from 1 species
AUGAGAUUAUUUUGUGAUUUUCUUUUUAAAGCUCAUCUAUAUUUACAUUAUUCAUAUGUACUUUUGCCUAAAAUCCAUCUGUUUAUAAGAAGUUCAAUUUUUAAAAAUUAUCCUUUUCUCACUUUCAUUUUCAUAGUCUCGUACUGCUUCUUCAUACUGUUCUGUGUCCAUGUAACACUGAGCUCUUCUCAAGUAGGCUUUUAUGUAAGUGUUAUCAAGCUUCACUGCAUUGGUGAAGUCUUCUAUUGCAUCAUCUAGUUUCCUAAGCUUGGAAUUAACAGUACCCCGAUUACAGUAGAGUUUUGCAUUUGUUUUUAUAUUGUUGGGGUCUAUCCCCAGGGCUUCUGUGUACAGUUCAUAUGCUAGUUUGUAAUUUCCUUCCUUCAAUGCUUUAUUUCCAUCUUCUUUCUUUGCUUUAAGUGCUUUGGCAUUUCUGCAGGCAAUGCAGGUCUUCUCAUGGUCAGGGGCCAUCCUGAGAGCCUGUGCAAAAAAUUGAACUGCCUUCUCGAUACAAUCUGUGUAAUAAAGGCAAAGACCUCGUACAUACAGAGCAUCUGCACUGGUGGAAUCCAUUCGUAGAAUGUCACUAGCCACAGACUGAGCUUCUGAAUAACAACCCAGCAAUGUGAAACAUUCUGCCUUGAAGAUUUUGAAGAGAUGGCAGGCAGGGGCAAAUUCUAGAGCAUGGUCCAUGCAGAAAACUACUUUCCGAAAUCUUGCUUCUCAAAAUCUGUUUCUGCUAUUUUCUCCUAUUCCAUGACUGCAGUAGAAUUUUUGAACUCUUGCUGGGCCUGAGCAUUUUUAUGAUCCAGUUCUAGGGCUCUCUGGACACUGUGACAUGCUGCCAUGGCAUUCCUUAGAGAGGUGGUAUUUGCCCUCUCAUAGAUGUCCCCAGACGAAACUGUCAUCCAACCUCACUGACUGUUGCGCAUCUCCAAGAGCUUCCCAGAACCUUCCAGCAUCAUCAAGGUGGCUGCUCGAUUACCAUAAUAGCUAGCAUCUUUAGGACACAACACAUAUCUAUGGCUCUUGUGUAAUAAUUAUAAGCUUCAUUGUAAUCUUUCUUGGCAUAGUAUGCAUUUCCUUGUUCCUUGAAAGUCUCUGCUUCCCUCUUUGCCUCUUCGUCGUCCAGCAGCUCUGGCUCGGUUGCCACCAUUACCACAUUGCACUUCGUGGCAGCCGCCAUCUUACCGCCAGGACCAGAGACUGUGUUUUCAUUUUUAACAAAAAAACUUUAAAAAAAUAAGAAAAAUUAAAUUUAAAAAAGCUAAUAGAAUAAGGAUAGAAGAAAUUUUUAUUUAUAAGUAGGACAAAAAGGACAGCUGAAUGUUUGUACAGUUGUACAAUGCG